ensembl:lncRNA
UCAUUAUACCAACAUUAUUUAUUUAUCAAACAACAUAUACUUUAACUUUACGCAAAAUCCAAGCAGAUUUUAGUUUUAUAAUAUUUACAUGACAUCCCAAAGACAGAAACGAAAACAUAAUUUGGGCUUGACCAUGCAAAACAACAAAUAACUUUCCUGAAAAUGCUUUGCAUGACACUUAAAAAAAAACUGCUAUUCAGUGAAACACAUUUUACAUUUUGUUGUCCGGCAUUUAUUGAAACAGUUGAAGUUGGGAAAAGCUACAGUAGGAAGAAACCACAACAUCCGAGAGGAUGAAGACCUCUGACCUCUGACAGGUAAGACCUGGUUCUGGUAUUCACAGUAGGAGAGCUGAUCUAGGAUCAGGUCCCCCAGGUCAUUAUGAUCUAGGAUCAGGUCCCCCAGGUCCAUGUAAUGUUAUUCAUUAUGAUCACCACUCCUACUCUCACUCUUUAUGACCUGAUCCUAGAUCAAUACUCCUACUGAAUCUCUUUAUGACCUGAUCCUAGAUCAACACUCCUACUGGGACUCUUUAGGACCUGAUCCCAGAUCAACACUCUCAGACUCUAUAUGACCUGAUCCUAGAUCACCACUCCUACUGAGACUAUGACCUGAUCCUAGAUCACCACUCCUACUGAGACUCUUUAGGACCUGAUCCCAGAUGACCACUCCUACUGAGACUCUUUAGGACCUGAUCCUAGAUGACCACUCCUACUGAGACUCUUUAAGACCUGAUCCCAGAUGACCACUCCUACUGAGACUCUUUAGGACCUGAUCCCAGAUGACCACUCCUACUGAGACUCUUUAGGACCUGAUCCUAGAUCACCACUCCUACUGGGACUCUUUAGGACCUGAUCCCAGAUGACCACUCCUACUGAGAGUCUUUAUGAAUAUGGGCCCAGACUUCUGAUACAGCACAGACCUCUAACAGGCUGUCUCAGGUCGGUUGGUGAAGGCCACCAGGUCUUUCGUCUCAGACUCCUUGGUGUGGUUCUUGUCAGUCUGACACUCGUGACAGAAACAUCCGGUAAACAUCAACAAAGUAGAGUUGUUUACCACAUUCCUGUCCCCCCCUCUCUCCUCGGUCUCCCACAGAGGGAAGGAGGACAGUGUGGAGACAGAUGUGAUUCUUUGUGUCCUUCUGCAUGCCGUGUCCCAGUAUCUCCUCUGCCUCUUUCUCUCCUUUCCUCCAUUCCCCAAACUCUUUCUAUUUCUUCUUCUCCCCAACCACCAGAGUUCCUCCUCCUCCUCUUCCCAGCCACCAGAGUUCCUCCUCCUCCUCUUCUCCCCAACCACCAGAGUUCCUCCUCCUCCUCCUCUCCCCAGCCACCAGAGUUCCUCCUCCUCCUCUUCUCCCCAGCCACCAGAGUUCCUCCUCUCCCUCCUCCUCUCCCCAGCCACCAAAGUUCCUCCUCCUCCUCUUCCUCCUCUCCCCAGCAACCAGAGAUCCUCCUCCUCCUCUUCUCCCCAGCCACCAGAGUUCCUCCUCUCCCUCCUCCUCUCCCCAGCCACCAGAGUUCCUCCUCUCCCUCCUCCUCUCCCCAGCAACCAGAGUUCCUCCUCUCCCUCCUCCUUUCCCCAGCCACCAGAGAUCCUCCUCUCCCUCCUCCUCUCCCCAGCCACCAGAGUUCCUCCUCUCCCUCCUCCCCCCUCCCCAGCCACCAAAGUUCCUCCUCUCCCUCCUCCUCUCCCCAGCCACCAGAGUUCCUCCUCCUCCUCUUCUCCCCAGCCACCACUUCCUCCUCUCCCUCCUCCUCUCCCCAGCCACCAGAGUUCCUCCUCCUCCUCUUCUCCCCAGCCACCAAAGUUCCUCCUCCUCCUCCUCUCCCCAGCCACCAGAGUUCCUCCUCCUCCUCCUUUCCCCAGCCACCAGAGUACCUCCUCUCCCUCCUCCUCUCCCCAGCCAUCAAAGUUCCUCCUCCUC